rnacentral:rRNA from 1 species
AGUGAACGCUGGCGGUAGGCCUAACACAUGCAAGUCGAACGGCAGCACAGUAAGAGCUUGCUCUUACGGGUGGCGAGUGGCGGACGGGUGAGGAAUACAUCGGAAUCUACUUUUUCGUGGGGGAUAACGUAGGGAAACUUACGCUAAUACCGCAUACGACCUACGGGUGAAAGCAGGGGAUCUUCGGACCUUGCGCGAUUGAAUGAGCCGAUGUCGGAUUAGCUAGUUGGCGGGGUAAAGGCCCACCAAGGCGACGAUCCGUAGCUGGUCUGAGAGGAUGAUCAGCCACACUGGAACUGAGACACGGUCCAGACUCCUACGGGAGGCAGCAGUGGGGAAUAUUGGAGAAUGGGCGCAAGCCUGAUCCAGCCAUGCCGCGUGGGUGAAGAAGGCCUUCGUGUUGUAAAGCCCUUUUGUUGGGAAAGAAAAGCAGCAGGUUAAUACCCCGCUGUUCUGACGGUACCCAAAGAAUAAGCACCGGCUAACUUCGUG